rnacentral:rRNA from 1 species
AACGAACGCUGGCGGCAUGCCUAACACAUGCAAGUCGAACGAGACCUUCGGGUCUAGUGGCGCACGGGUGCGUAACGCGUGGGAACCUGCCCUUAGGUUCGGAAUAACUCCCCGAAAGGGGUGCUAAUACCGGAUAAUGUCUUCGGACCAAAGAUUUAUCGCCUUUGGAUGGGCCCGCGUUGGAUUAGCUAGUUGGUAGGGUAAAAGCCUACCAAGGCGACGAUCCAUAGCUGGUCUGAGAGAAUGAUCAGCCACACUGGGACUGAGACACGGCCCAGACUCCUACGGGAGGCAGCAGUGGGGAAUAUUGGACAAUGGGCGAAAGCCUGAUCCAACAAUGCCGCGUGAGUGAUGAAGGCCUUAGGGUUGUAAAGCUCUUUUACCCGGGAUGAUAAUGACAGUACCGGGAGAAUAAGCUCCGGCUAACUCCGUG